GGCAGAGAGGAAAGCAAUUUGGUUCGUCCGGUUCUUUCUUUGAUGCAGUAGUCUGAAACUCAUGGACUCCUGGUAGCCCCUGGCCCAAAUGCCGGGUAAAAAAGAGCCACGUGUAGAUCGAUCUCCGCAAAACCCACCUCCACCUGCCCACUCUUCCCUGACAAACCACCAAUGCAGUAAUAGUCACACUUUGGCCCCUUUCUGGCUCUGCCCAAGCAGGCACUACUGUCUGAAUCGACUCUUCCCACCACGGUGUUGCCACUACUUUCUGUCCAGCCAGGCAAGCAAGUCGGCCGGAGGUCAGGAUUCCCUCCCAGACUUCUUGGAGACCGUGCCAUCCAUGGUGCCUCCAUGGUGGGGCCUCUGGAAAUAGGGAUCCCUGAUGAUGAAAGGGUCCUGACAGGUCACUGUUAUCUUCCCCACCUAAAAAGACAUGUUGAAGGAACGAUUUAAUUUGCUAGAUUAAACGCUUUCUCGCAUUUAAAUUUUCCUGCAUGUGAUAACUUUUUGAGCUUCCUCUCCAUCUGCUUUAACCAUCUCUCCUUCUCUUCUUCAGCUCAUCUCCCUAUUUGUACACAUCAGCUCAACGUCCCUAGAUAGUCACUCAGACCUGGGUUCCCGUGGGCGGGGAACGGAGGCACGGGCCACAAGGGCAUCACGUUCAGUUAUUAACCAGGACCUUCCUUACUGAAACUUUUGGGAAUUUGCUUUCUGUUUAGAUUUUCUCAUUGACAUUUUCCUCUUGGAUUUGACACGUUUUAAUUUUUCUCCAUUGCCUUCUUGUAUCUUAAACGGGUUUUGCCGAUGCCAUUAUUUUAGCCCAAAUUCGGUUUCUAUUUGGGUUUGCAGGAUGGCUUCAGGAGCUCCUUCCCCUUGUUCCCUGAGUCUCUAUUUCUUCUAGUAAGCAGGGCCCAUUCCUUAGUCUGGAAGAAAUCUGUUUGAGGCUUUUGUGGCCCAUUCAUUAGCUCUUUAUUAGAUCUAUUUCUAACUGCAAACGAUGAUCUCCUGAACGUGACUAUUUUUUUCCCCAGUGUCAUUGACUAGUAACAUGAUUUUUAGGCUGGCCGCUCUUAGCUGGCUAAGGUCUUCAGUAAACUUUCCCUGAAUUGCCAACAUUUCCAGGAAUUAUUAACUUCCAAACUGCGACACCAAUACAAAUACCCCACAACUCAUAGUUUGGCUACAUUUUUAUUAUGUCACUGAAAGGAAAGUUAAUGUCAUAAUGAAUUUCCUCAUAUGAAUGUCCCAGAGGCUGUAAGUGGCCCCACAUGUUACAGGACAACAACUGGUUUUCUCAGUCAGAUUUUCAGAGAAGUUGAUCCCCUCACUUGUUAAGGCUGUCAUUCAUUCGUUCACUCAUUCAUUUCGACCAAUAUUUCUUUAACGAGUACCUGGGCUUCCAGCACUGUUCUAGGCCCUGGGAAGGUAGCAGUCAACAGAGAGUUCCCGCCCUCACAGAGUUUACGGUUUGCUGAAGCAGGACCAUACAAUCCGCAAUGUUUUGGACACACACACGCACAUAUACACCGCAAGUCAAACUGCAAGUCAGAUUGCAGUACGUUCAAAAAUGAAGGGAAAUUAAACACAGUGAGGGAAUAGAGGAAUGUUCAAAUGUUGGGUUUGGAACUGCCGUGGAGAGCAACGAGAGCCGUGUGCAUUCUUGGUGUCUAAGGAAAUCCAAACACACUUGGCUUGGGCAGGAUCUGCUUCUCUGACCCAUCCCUUUGACCUGCCCAUUUUUGCGUCUGUUCUGGUUGGGAAUGAGAAUUUUAACCAGGCUGUGAAGAGCAUGAAUCAAAAUGCCCAUUGGACACGCAGCCUUUUCACCUCCCCUCACAAAGUAUAUAACUCAGGAAAGAGGCCCAUCCUUGCCGGCUUCUUUCCCCACUUAUAAAGACAGACAAGCGCAGAGUUAGUUGUUGACAAUAUUCAGUGCUUGCUCUGAUGUUCCCAGAAUGGGAAUCAGACUCUGAGCGUUUGAAAUAAAGAAGAAAUGGUUCCCUUUUCUUUUGAAGUGCCCCUGAGAUUAUAUGGCGGUCACUGUUCAAAGUCGCUACUCCUCUUAGAAAUGGAGGUCCAUUUAAACAACCCUACUUCCUACAGAUCACUGUAACCUAUCUUUUAACACAGGAGUAGAUUGAUUAGAUUUCUUUGUUCACAGUUGGAUAUAUGUUAUUCUUUCUGCCAGUUCUCAGCACCUCAUUCGUUUUGUGGGUUCUAAGGGCAAAUCCUGUCAGUACCCAAGUGCUGGGA